UGGUCUUGUUUCCACUGCUGUUUGAACAGAAGAUCACUGAUUUUCAGGAAAUCUGAGCCGUGCGUUCAGUGGUGGCAUUGAAGAUGCCGUUCCUCCUGCCGCUCCUUGCCCUCCUCCUCCUGUCCGCCGCUCCCACAGUAACUGAAGUGGUGACAUCGAUGUCGGACUGUGCCGAUAACUUUCUUAACCAAGCUCCACCACAGAUCGGGGGAAUCUUGGAGGGAGGGAACAUCCUGGACCAGAAUAUAUACAAGCCCAUUUGCCAGACCUUGAAUAACAAGAGAACAUUUGUGACACUCUACGACACAACCAACAAGAUCCCAGUGUUCUCUGCUUACAAGUACCCUGGAAAAGAAACUCCGUGGAAGAUAGAACCACAGCUUGAGGGAAUAACCUUGAAUAAAAACAUGGAGAUUGAAGACGACAGCAAGUGCUACAUUGACCAGGCCAAUACGAGAGAUUACAGUAACAGCCCAGUAUACGACAGAGGGCAUUUAUUACCACACUCCUAUGGUUUUACCAGUAAUGACAAAAAAUCUACCUUUGCC